UCCUCGAAGCCCUUUCUCAUUAGUAUAUACC
rnacentral:piRNA from 1 species